AUGAACGCUGGCGGCGUGCCUAAUACCUGCAAGUCGAGCGCACAGAUGAGGAGCUUGCUCCUCUGACGUUAGCGGCGGACGGGUGAGUAACACGUGGAUAACCUACCUAUAAGACUGGGAUAACUUCGGGAAACCGGAGCUAAUACCGGAUAAUAUAUUGAACCGCAUGGUUCAAUAGUGAAAGACGGUUUUGCUGUCACUUAUAGAUGGAUCCGCGCCGCAUUAGCUAGUUGGUAAGGUAACGGCUUACCAAGGCAACGAUGCGUAGCCGACCUGAGAGGGUGAUCGGCCACACUGGAACUGAGACACGGUCCAGACUCCUACGGGAGGCAGCAGUAGGGAAUCUUCCGCAAUGGGCGAAAGCCUGACGGAGCAACGCCGCGUGAGUGAUGAAGGUCUUCGGAUCGUAAAACUCUGUUAUUAGGGAAGAACAAAUAUGUAAGUAACUAUGCACGUCUUGACGGUACCUAAUCAGAAAGCCACGGCUAACUACGUG
rnacentral:rRNA from 1 species